rnacentral:rRNA from 1 species
GUUUCAGCCGCCGCGGUAAUACGGAGGGUGCGAGCGUUGUUCGGAAUUAUUGGGCGUAAAGCGCGUGCAGGCGGUUUUGCAAGUCUGAUGUGAAAGCCCCGGGCCUAACCUGGGAAGUGCAUUGGAAACUGCAAGACUUGAGUACGGGAGAGGAGAGUGGAAUUCCUGGAGUAGGGGUGAAAUCCGUAGAUAUCAGGAAGAACACCGGUGGCGAAGGCGGCUCUCUGGACCGAUACUGACGCUGAGACGCGAAAGCGUGGGUAGCAAACAGGAUUAGAAACCCUAGUAGUCC